GACGUACUCCCUCCGUCCGGAAAUACUUGUCAUUAAAAUGGACAAAAGAUACUUGUCAUCAAAAUGGACAAAAGAGGAUGUAUCCUUUUUGUCCAUUUUAAUGACAAGUAUUUCCGGACGGAGGGAAUACUAC
rfam:Triticum aestivum genome assembly, contig: Triticum_aestivum_CS42_TGACv1_scaffold_486987_6AS